CUCCUAGACCCUAUUUAAGGGCAGACUGCCACUAAGGUAGGAUUUCUCUCUGGAGAUUGCUCCUUGUGAAGUGUUUUGUGAGCCUACAACACUGAUUAAAUGUCUGCAGGACACAGCAGAUGAAGGCAAAAUGCUGCUUCACCAGCCUGUGUUCAGAAUACUUUUUAGUAAAGAUGUCAGAGAGAAACAAAGAAUAUCUAACGAAUAUUCCACAUUGAAGCUAUGGCAGUCUCUUUUGGAAAGUAUAACAAAGUUUCAGUGGCAGGAAAGCAAAAGACUCCAGUAGUCAUUUUUCCUUGAUCUUCAUGUUAUCCUAUAAGAAUCUCCAAGCCCACUCUGAGAAACUUGAUACUGAACAUGGGAAUUUUUUUUCCCCAGUAGACAAUUUGUCAGAACACAGUGAAAUUGGAUUACAUUCAUCAAUGUAUUUACCCCAAAUAAAAUUAACAAAGUACAUAAAAAUGUUAAAGAAUUCAUUUGAAUGUGCUAAAUGACUGUGUUGGUAGUCUACAUACACUGCUUCAGCAUGGCGAAUGAAG
ensembl:lncRNA